UGGGGAAUAUUGGACAAUGGGGGCAACCCUGAUCCAGCCAUGCCGCGUGAGUGAUGACGGCCUUAGGGUUGUAAAGCUCUUUUCUCCGGGACGAUAAUGACGGUACCGGAGGAAUAAGCCCCGGCUAACUUCGUGCCAGCAGCCGCGGUAAUACGAAGGGGGCUAGCGUUGCUCGGAAUCACUGGGCGUAAAGGGCGCGUAGGCGGCUGAUUUAGUCGAGGGUGAAAGCCCGUGGCUCAACCACGGAAUGGCCUUCGAUACUGAUUGGCUUGAGACCGGAAGAGGACAGCGGAACUGCGAGUGUAGAGGUGAAAUUCGUAGAUAUUCGCAAGAACACCAGUGGCGAAGGCGGCUGUCUGGUCCGGUUCUGACGCUGAGGCGCGAAAGCGUGGGGAGCAAACA
rnacentral:rRNA from 2 species